UCGUAUUUCUAUGGCAUUAACAAUGUUAUACGAAAUUUUAAGUACGUAGUUCCUGUACGUGAAUUGGAUUCACCCUAUGUUUCUUUCCUGCUUGAGACGCUUCCGUCUGAGCGAAUGAUUGGUUAAACUGUACAGUCAAGCGUUUCCAAGUGAUUGUCUAUUGGCGGAUGGGACGUCACUCAAAGGUUGUGCCCGCCUUCUGUGUCUUCAGUUUCACGAGUGCAUUGCAUCUAGUGGAAAAUCCUUUAAUCGGAGUGUUUGAAUUGCAGGCAGAUCUACAGGUAGCUGAAUCCUAGCCGCCAGCAUGUCUGGCACUGCUACAGUUCUGCAGCAGUUUGUGAGUGGCCUUAAGAGUCGAAAU